rnacentral:tRNA from 4 species
UAGAUUGAAGCCAGUUGUUUAGGGUAUUUAGCUGUUAACUAAAAUUUCGUGGGAUGGAAGCCCACCAAUCUAG